rnacentral:rRNA from 1 species
GACGAACGCUGGCGGCGUGCUUAACACAUGCAAGUCGAACGGAAAGGCCCUGCUUUUGUGGGGUGCUCGAGUGGCGAACGGGUGAGUAACACGUGAGUAACCUGCCCUUGACUUUGGGAUAACUUCAGGAAACUGGGGCUAAUACCGGAUAGGAGCUCCUGCUGCAUGGUGGGGGUUGGAAAGUUUCGGCGGUUGGGGUUGGACUCGCGGCUUAUCAGCUUGUUGGUGGGGUAGUGGCUUACCAAUGCUUUGACGGGUAGCCGGCCUGAGAGGGUGACCGGCCACAUUGGGCCUGAGAUACGGCCCAGACUCCUACGGGAGGCAGCAGUGGGGAAUAUUGCACAAUGGGCGGAAGCCUGAUGCAGCAACGCCGCGUGCGGGAUGACGGCCUUCGGGUUGUAAACCGCUUUCGCCUGUGACGAAGCGUGAGUGACGGUAAUGGGUAAAGAAGCACCGGCUAACUACGUG